AGGACGAACGCUGGCGGCGUGCUUAACACAUGCAAGUCGAGCGGAAAGGCCCUUCGGGGUACUCGAGCGGCGAACGGGUGAGUAACACGUGGGCAACCUGCCCCUAGCUCUGGGAUAACUCCGGGAAACCGGUGCUAAUACCGGAUACGACCUCAUUAGGCAUCCUUUGAGGUGGAAAGAUUUAUCGGCUAGGGAUGGGCCCGCGGCCUAUCAGCUUGUUGGUGGGGUAACGGCCUACCAAGGCGACGACGGGUAG
rnacentral:rRNA from 1 species